rnacentral:tRNA from 1 species
UUAAUUGAAGCCAAAGAGAGGCAUUUCAUUGUUAAUGAAAAAAAUUGAUUCUUAAUCCAAUUAAA